AUCCUUCACACGGCAUGAGGGAUGUCAUAUCCAUUAAGUUCCAAGGCAUCUCCUGAUGUAAUGGCAGCCCUUGGGUCUUCAUUGUCUAAUAAGGAAAAACAAAAAACCUUUCUUCGCUCAAGUGCUCCUCCUCCAACCCUCCUGAUGUUAGGACAUCUUCAUGAGGUGCUUAAUGCUAGAGGACUUCCUAACUAUCACAAGACACUUGUAGACUGAGUCUCAGCUGCUUUACAUCCUCCUCAAUCCUCUUCGGGUGAUACCGAUCAGGACAUGAAUGAAUUCGAGGAGGAAGACUGUGAAAUGUCAUAGUAUGAAAAACCUGAAGAAGAGAGGAUUUAAUGGUGCUGGAUCAAUUCCAGCAUGGGCUAUGGAAGGAAACUUUGGUUCAAAAUGUUUCUUAAGCCUUGGUGGCCUCCCAAAAGAAGGGGAGGGUUGAUAAGUGUUGAGAAGAAGCUUAGGAUUCUUCUAUUUCCUUUUUGACCUCGUUUGCUUACUGGGGAGUAUAGGGCCAUGAUACUACCUCUCGUAUCAUCCGCAUGUUGAAAAAGUCAACCCUCUCGCUUUUAUCUAGUAGAGACCAAAGCUGAUAUGGAUAGGAUCAAUCUAUUUUGUGCUAAGCUUGACCAUAGUUGGGAUUGGCUGUUAUUGUGGCUGAGGGCUACUCCAGAGGCAUUAUCACCUUUUGGAGAAAGUACAUCAGGUUGGUAACACCUAUGGCUAAUUCCCAGAAUUCGGUGCACCUUGUUACUUCCCAAAGCUCUUCUAAAGCCAGGAUCAUUGCAGUUUUCUACAAUUCUAAUUGGAUCCAAGGCUAGUUUUUACUAUGGGAAGAACUCUUUGGUAUGAUCCCCUUAAACUUACCAUGGAUUAUCAUUGGUGACUUUAAUCAUGUGGUUUCCAUGAGUGAGUAUAAGGGAGCUCCUGAUUUUUAUUACUCUUGCAAAGCUUGUAUGUUUUAUGAUUUCAUAGCCUCGAAUAAUCUAUUAAUCACAUUCUGCA